CCUACGGGAGGCAGCAGUGGGGAAUAUUGGACAAUGGGCGAAAGCCUGAUCCAGCCAUGCCGCGUGUGUGAAGAAGGUCUUCGGAUUGUAAAGCACUUUAAGUUGGGAGGAAGGGUUGUAGAUUAAUACUCUGCAAUUUUGACGUUACCGACAGAAUAAGCACCGGCUAACUCUGUGCCAGCAGCCGCGGUAAUACAGAGGGUGCAAGCGUUAAUCGGAAUUACUGGGCGUAAAGCGCGCGUAGGUGGUUUGUUAAGUUGGAUGUGAAAUCCCCGGGCUCAACCUGGGAACUGCAUUCAAAACUGACUGACUAGAGUAUGGUAGAGGGUGGUGGAAUUUCCUGUGUAGCGGUGAAAUGCGUAGAUAUAGGAAGGAACACCAGUGGCGAAGGCGACCACCUGGACUAAUACUGACACUGAGGUGCGAAAGCGUGGGGAGCAAACAGGAUUAGAUACCCCUGGUAGUCCACGCCGUAAACGAUGUCAACUAGCCGUUAGGAAGCCUUGAGCUUUUAGUGGUCGCAGCUAACGCAUUAAGUUGACCGCCUGGGGAGUAACGGGCCGCGAAAGGGUUUAAAACCUUAAAGUUGAAAUUGACGG
rnacentral:rRNA from 1 species